UUUUUGCACAAACCAAUUGAUAUUAAGUCAUCCAUCCACAUAUCAGCCUCUGACCUGAAUGAUCCUGGGCGUCUGAGAUGGGCAAACUGGCGUGAGUACCGGCUCAUAGGAUCGCCAUGGUGAUACUAAGAAACCUUCAUUUAAAAAAAAAAAAAAACUGUAUUUGCACUGCAGCAUUUAAAAAAGAUAGCUGUGGCGUGUUUUAAGCUAGACACUCUGAGAUCUGUCAGCACCUCGAUACCCCAUCUCUGCCUUUCAAAUAUGGAGAAAUGAUUGACAUCUCAGAGUGACUUUUCUCAGCACAGUUUUCAGGGCGACUAUCCUGUGACUCUCAUAUUUGCUAAAUAAAACAUCACAGACUCUGGCUUCCCUUCCUGCUUCUGUGUUCAUUUCUUCAGGGAAGGCAGAUAUUUAUUUAUACAUAUUUAUUAUCUGUACAUAUUUAUAAAGGCUGUACUCCAGGCUUUGGGAAGGCUUCCCGUGUCUCUUUCCGAUCCGAGUUCUUCUCAGUUUUUCCCUUUCCAAAAUGAUACUUUGAAAAACAACAUCCUUGAAAGAGACCUAAAAAAUGAGCUAUCAUUAAUGCAUCUGCAUGCUUUGAAGGACUUCGGGAGGCUGGAAGCAUUCACGUCAGUUUGCCCAUCUCAGACACCCGGGACUAUUUAGGUCAGAGGCUGAUAUGUGGUUGGAUGACCUAAUACUGAUUGGUUUGUACAAAAACCUUUCCCUCUGGUCUCAUCUGCCAGCACCAUCUUGUGACCACAGGAGUCCCAGCUGCCACCUCUCCUAGACUUGCCGCCACCUCACAUCCCGACCCCUGCCACCUUCAUCUGCCUGAUUUCUGGUGGGGUCUGCUCUGGUUUCACGUUUAGCAUCCAGCACUUGGCCCUUCUUCAGCCUCGCUCCUUGCCCACCCUUUUGGGAAGGAAACCCUAAAGUAGAAUUCCCCAGUAGUUUGGUGGGCUGUCUCUCAAGAAGGCUUAAAGCCAUACUGAGACACUGAGGCCAGGUUUUAUACAAGCGUGCUUGCUUGGCUCAUGAGCUGUUUUCAAAAUCUACAAAUGUUUCUAUAACGUAUAGUCUUAGCUUUUUGCGAGAUGCCAAGACACUUGGCAUCUUGGAGCCAUAUUCCCAUAAUCAGCAGGGUACAGGUUGCCCUCCUUCCAAGAGCUCACAUCCCCCCAUACUGCCUCAAGCAAGCUUUGCCCUAGAUAUAUAUUCUGACCUAGGAAGUAAUUGAGGGGCAGAGACCUACUGUUUCCUUCUCCUGAGGGGUCUUUUCCCCACCUCCUCUUUCUCUACCGCCAUAUUACUUUUCUCGUGCCAACAAAAUGUCCGCUCCUCUGAGUGAAGUGGAAAAUAAGAGUUCCGCAUUCAUUCAUGUAUUUGAACAUAACAAAAGCGUAGUGUGUUAGGCGAAGGGAAGAGCAGCUUGGGAAAAGCAGCCACCGAAUCAGUUCAGCAGCAGUGACACGGCCGUCCGUCCGUCCGUCCGUCCGUGUAUGAUCCCAUUAACUGGCUCCUGUCAAAUGCACCUUAAAGCUACAGUGCGGCGGUUUUAGUAAAGGCUCCCUCUUCCUUGCUGCAGCUCCUGUUGACUUGAAGCUUGCCGUUUGCUCUGGUGUUUAAUGUGAGGGAGGGCUGAUGGUCAUUUGUUUGAGGGACUGUUGUGUACCUCACAACAGUCUUUGCCAAAGCUCUGGCUGAUCUUCGGAAGCCUGAGGGAUGAGGGCUGCAGUCCUUCCAACCCCAACAGGAGAGAAGUGAGGCCCAUAACUUACUUUGCAAGGAAGGGGAGUCUAAUUUGAUUUUUAAAUUGAUGUCCUUCUCUCAGUAAACCACCCUUGCCUGUCUUUGUAAGUUUCCAGGGUCCUCUUAUUCGUGGCAUUGAGCUGGUUAACAAGGAGGUCAGACUCUGGGUUGUUUGUUUGGUUUUUGUUUUUGUUUUCUUUUUUUUUCUUUUUUUCCUUUUAUUAAACUAAUAAAAUUCAUUUUAAAUACACAACUCAUUUUUUUAAGUCAUCAAAAUAAUUUAUGAUCGUUAAAUACCUCUUAAAUAUACAUGCUGUCUUCUGAAGCUAAAAGUAAUAUGCACUCAACCAGUUUUAAAAAUCUACUUGGAACAUUAAACAUGAUAAAAGUAGAAAAAAAAUCUCUUAUGAAGUCCUCUAUGAAAGGAAAUUGUGAAAAGUUUGUGAUUAGACAGAAACCGUUCCAUCUCCAAGGGAGAAUACGCAGUGUAAUUGUGGCUUCAUGGAAUGAAUUGGGUAGUGUUCCUUCUGUUCUUAUUUUGUGAAAUAGUUUGAAGAGUAUUGGUAUUAGGUCUUCUUUGAAGGUCUGAUAGAAUUCUGCACUAAAACCAUCUGGUCCUGGGCUUUUUUUGGUUGGGAGACUUUUAAUGACUGCUUCUAUUUCUUUAGGGGUUAUGCAACUGUUUAGAUGGUUUAUCUGAUCCUGAUUUAACUUUGCUAUUUGGUAUCUGUCUAGAAAGCACACCUGAAAGCUCUAGAACAAAAAGAAGCAAAUUCACCCAAGAGGAGUAGAAGGCAGGAAAGAAUCAAACACGGGGCUAAAAUCAACCAAGCAGAAACAAAAAGAACCAUACAAAGAAUCAACCAAGCCAAGAGCCAGUUCUUUGAGAAAAUCAACAGGAUAGAGAAACCCUUAGCCAGACUAACCAGAGAGCACAGAGACAGUAUCCAAAUUAACAAAAUCAGAAAUGAAAAUGGAGCCAUAACAACAGAACCAGAGGAAAUUCCAAAACAAAAAACCAUCAGAUCCUACUACAAAAGCUUAUACUCAACAAAACCGGAAAAUCUGUUUUUCGUUUUAAAAAAAAAAAAUAAAUCUGGAAAAAUAGUGUCUGCUUUUUCCUUUUGCAAGGCAUUUAGGACUAUUCGUUAAGGUGGCUUCCUAGCGUAAAACAGGAGCACCUCAAAGCAAGGCUGUCACUCUUGUUCCUCAGUCCCAGUUAAGCUCUACUCCUAACAGUCCCGUGAUUUCUCCGACCAGGAAUCUUCCCAGCUGUGACUCAGAUAAACUUGAUAGCAGUGGACUAGGGAGGGUGGUGUACCCCUCAGCAGCCAGGGCCCUGGGUCUACUGAAGAGUUCAUCUUUGUUUGCUUGCUGAAGGCUGCUGACCCUGGCAACACUAAGUGGUCUCAAGAACAUAAGGCUCUAGGUGGUCUGGUUAGUUGAUGUUGUUCUUCCUAUGGGGUUGCAAUCCCCUUCAGCUCCUUCAGUCAUUCCCCUUGCUCUUCCAUUGGGGUCCCCAGGCUCAGCCCGAUGGUUAUGGUUGGCUGUAAGUAUCUGUAAGUAUUGGUCAGGUGCUGGUAGAACCUCUCAGGGAACAGCCAUAUCAGACUCCUGUCAGCAAGCGCUUGUUGAGAGCUCCCAGGGACUAAACCACCAACCAAAGAGUAUACAUGGAGGGAGCCAGGACUCCAGAUACAUAUGUGCAGAGGAUGGCCUUAUCUGACAUUAAAAGGGAGGAAGGCAUGAUGCCCCAAUGGGGGGGAGGGGCGAUAGAGGGGUGAGGUGGGUGGAGGAGCACCCUCAUAGAGGCAAGGGGAGGGGGAAGAGGGAUGGAAUGGGGGGAGUUGUUGGAGGGGUAACCAGGGGGUUAUUAUUUGAAAUGUAAACGAGUAAAAUGAUUU
rnacentral:lncRNA from 1 species